rnacentral:siRNA from 1 species
GAUUACUCAAAUUUGCGCUCCA